CAACAAUUAUGAAAGGCAGCCUAUAUCUAAUGUGAUUCAGUUGUUCCGUAGCAACGUGUCAACAUAGCGCUCAGAAAAAAAACUGGUGGAGGACCAGGAACCGGGAAACUUCCAUAGCAGCCCAGCGUUGACUUUCCACUGUUUUACAUCCACCCCGCCCAGCUAAAGCAAACACAGUCCUUGGGUAGAAAAACAACUUCCAGAGCCUUUCCAUAAAGGAGAGGUUUGUCGCGGUGAGGCUGUUGCCGCUCACCGUCGACUGCUCAGCUUUGACCAAACAGCGACUAACAAAUUCAAAAGUGUGUCUGUGUGGUACGAUUCCUGAUAUUUUUUCCUAAAGCCUUUUUUUUUUUUACUGUGAGCCCAAAAUGGAGGACAUCAUUAAAACCACUCUGGCCUGAAGCAUUGACAGGCAACCAUCUGGGUUUCCUUUUUUCACACUGAAAAAGAACCAGACCGUGAGCAUCUACAAAUGAUUUGUGAAAGUAUGAUGAUAACCCUGGAACUGAGAACGGAACAUACUGCAUCAUGGAGAAGCAGCGUCCACGUCUCUUGAUCAGCAUAUACCUAGAAACUUGACCAGCUGCAAAACUAACCUGUGAAAGGCACUUUUUCAGACAGUUCCAUGAUGACUCAUUUAGUGACAGGUCAUGGAAACAUUAUGACAAGUCAAAAGUGCAUCUUCUUAGAGCUAGAGCCAAAAUAUAUGUAAGUUUGCACGGUGAGUCAUUGUGUGUGCAUGCGUGACACAGGAGCCCUCCCACCUCAACUCUGCUCUACUGACUGAUCACAUGACCGAGGGAAUUCCAGCACAGCUCAGCAGAGCUCCUCAGUAGCAGACGAGGCAACGUGCUUCAUGUGAGUGUGAGUCAUGUUGUGUGCCACAUGUCUAAUACUGUGUUUCCAUGAUGACUUCAUAAGUCUACAUAUGAAGUAAUCAUAUUCAAGUUCAUUUUUCUGGUGCCAACAUUUUCCGUAAGAACCAGAACCUCCUUUCACUAUUAUUCUUAUUUGGUAUAUAAUGUCUAUGCAAAGCUCAGUCUGCAACAUCUUCAUAUUUUUACCUCACCAGAUGGUCAAAAAUAAAGUUACCACAUACAAAAACAGAAGCACUUUUACACUAGUCAAAGAUCCUAUAUAUAGUAAUAGGGCUCUGUUGUUUUAUUAAAUGGGAACUGCACUUUGUUUUAUUUUGUCUAUCAUAACAGGGUCCUGCUGUUUUAUUAAAAGGGAACUGCACUUUUUUGUAUUUGGUCUAUCAUUGAGAGUGCAUGUGUAGGACAAGAACACAUGGUUUCCUUUUUUAUGCAUUUUAACUCGUAAAUAAAAAUUAGCAAAAGUCAGCUAACAAUGGAGCCAAUCGGAGUUGUUCUAUUCCACCGAUGAAGCGCUCUAAAAAAACAUCCAAAACUCUAAAUUGUUUUAUAUACAAAUAUAAGUAUAUAUGUAAUGUAAUAACAGGCAUAUAGAUAUGUAUAAAAACAUGUAAAAUGUAUGUAUUUUGCUCAUUUUAACACUAAAAGCACCAAGAGACAGUAAAAUGGCUAGAUUAACUGAGGUGUGAACCACCCAUUUUAUCACCAUUGUUAUGUAAAUGAUGCAAUUGCUCCACACAUAGAUCAAAGUCAAAUAUGUCAUUAAAAAAUAUUUUUUCUAUCCAUUCAUUUUCUACCGCUUGUCCUUUUCGGGAUCGCAGGGGUGCUGGAGCUUGUCCCAGCUGCAUUCUGGCGGAAGGCGCGGUACUCCGUUGACAAGUCUCCACCUCACCGCAGGGCCAACACAGAUAGACAACAUUCACAAUCUAGGGCCAAUUUAGUGUUGCCAGUCAGCCUAUCCCCAGAUGCAUGUCUUUGGAGGAGGGGAGAAAGCAGAGUACCCGGAGGGAACCCACGCAGUCAUGGGGAGAACAUGCAAACUCCACAUAGAAAGACACCGAGCCCGGGGAUUGAACACAGGACCUUCUUAUUCUGAGGCACACUCACUAACCCAUGUCACCGUGCUCCCUGCAGCUAUGUGCUAAAGAGAUCUAGCUUUAGUGAAACACUAGUCAUGCAGCAGUAUUGUGUGCUGAACAAGAUAUAUAAACUAUGAAUAUAAUAAAACAAUCACUCGCUGUACAAUGUCUGCUCUCCCUGGGAAGGGACCUAUGAAGAUUUAUUUAUUUUCUGACUUAUAAACAUUAUUAAGAUGAGGGAUACACGUGUUAAAACAAUCCCAAAGCAUAAAGUCUAUUCUCUCAUCUUUUUUUUUUAAACUGUGGCCAAUUUGUGACGUCACAGAUUGACGAUCGAAUAUCUGGUGGCAUCCUAGUAAAUGCUGCCUGCAGCCUCCAGUGAUAUUCCUUCUCGUCUCAUGCCGUCCCGCCUUGUCUGAUGUCUAUGGAAAUAAAAUACUACUGUGUUCA